GGGCCGGUCGGAACGGGGCAUUGCGCCGGGCUGAGGGGGCGGCUGGCGGAGCGAGGGGCGCGGACACCCCCGAGGGACCCACGCCGGAGCAGGGACGGCCUUGAGGGAGCAUGGACCCGCCUGGACGCCCCUGAGGAACCAGGAGCUGCUGGGAAGGCACGGUUUCAGCAGAUGGAUGACAAUAUGUGCAGGAGACAGGGAAGAAUAAAGCAACGUGCUAAAAUGAAGAUCAAAUGUUGCAAAACCUACUUGAGUGAAACCCAGCAUCUGCCAGCAGAGAGUGCCUGAGGAAUCUCAGCACAGGAUCGGAGACAGUUACAAGAAGUCAGGACAGAAAUCAGGCACUGAGGUCAUCAGGAAACGCUAAUCGGUACGUAUAAUCAACUUACUGCACGGAGGUAAACACAUCGAUAGGUGUCAGCGAAGGAUGCCGUGCACUGACAGUUCCGUCAGCAGCAGAACACCUUGGAGGACUCGGAUUCCUGGGUAAGGCUUGUCAGUCCCAGGCCUCAGCAUGGCUCCCGUGUGCCAGUGGGAUUAGUUAGAGGAUUGCCUAUGAGCCAGGUUGCUGAAAUAGUCUAUGCUAAAAAAAUAAAGAAGUGUUUGUCUUCCGUCAGAAAUUUCAGUGUGAAUUUCAACCAGAUCGCUGCAGUGAUUGUUUGCACUGCUGUCCCCUAAACAUUGCUGUAAGUCAGGGAAACAAAGAGCAGUGUGAGAGGUGGGGUAGAAAAAGCAUAUUCUAAAAACGUUAGCAAAGGAAAACCUUAAAUGUCCUCUUCGCUGUAUGUCACACCUGCUAUUGCAGUAAAUCCUCCAUCAAGGCAAAUACGGCCCUCCCAGAAUGAAUCUUGAGUGAACGAAGAGCUACUUAACGUAGCUGGGAAGAGUCACAUUCCCUCCGCCCUGCAUUAAUUAACUCCGUAGGCUCUUGGCUUUCCACUGCUGCCUGCAGGGUCCAAGCAGAGGUGUCCAGCUCAGGGCUAAAGGGGACGGUACCCUCACCUCGAACUCCUGGCCACUGGCUCUCACCUGCAGCAAGGCUG